rnacentral:rRNA from 1 species
AAACUUUCAACAACGGAUCUCUUGGUUCCGGCAUCGAUGAAGAACGCAGCGAAAUGCGAUACGUAAUGUGAAUUGCAAAUUCAGUGAAUCAUCGAGUCUUUGAACGCACAUUGCGCCCCCUGGUAUUCCGGGGGGCAUGCCUGUCCGAGCGUCAUUUCUG